CACACACCCCCACACGUGGGGGUCCCCGCGGCGCCCACCUUGAAGAAGUCGUCCUGGUGGAUGACGCAGCAGUUGGGCAGCGCCUUGACGAUCCUGUUGGUCAGCGUGGUUUUGCCUCCGUUGGUGACGCCUCCGAUCCCUAUGAUGUACUCCAUGGCGGAGCCGUGCAGUGUGGGGAGGAAGAGGAGGAGGAGAACCCCACAGCGUGUGGGGCUUUGCACAGAGGGCCCCUUUCCCCCCUCGGCUGCUCUGUGUCCCCGCUG
rnacentral:lncRNA from 1 species